rnacentral:rRNA from 1 species
CAAGUCGAGCGAGACCUUCGGGUCUAGCGGCGGACGGGUGAGUAACGCGUGGGAACGUGCCCUUUGCUACGGAAUAGCCCCGGGAAACUGGGAGUAAUACCGUAUGUGCCCUUCGGGGGAAAGAUUUAUCGGCAAAGGAUCGGCCCGCGUUGGAUUAGGUAGUUGGUGGGGUAAUGGCCUACCAAGCCGACGAUCCAUAGCUGGUUUGAGAGGAUGAUCAGCCACACUGGGACUGAGACACGGCCCAGACUCCUACGGGAGGCAGCAGUGGGGAAUCUUAGACAAUGGGGGCAACCCUGAUCUAGCCAUGCCGCGUGAGUGAUGAAGGCCUUAGGGUUGUAAAGCUCUUUCAGCUGGGAAGAAUAUGACGGUACCAGC